UCUCACCGAGCCGCCACUCUGCCGUCGCCCAUGUGCGCGCGUCAUUGCCGUCGCAUCCGUGACGCCGCGCCACGCCAGGCGGGCCCGCGAUCGGACCCCGGUCAAGACGCCAUCCUCACGAACCUUCCACUCCAAGGGUUGGGGAGCGAACCGAGUGGAUAGGCGCGCUGCCGUGGCCACGUCCGCCGCCUCAUCCACAACUAAUGAUUACUAGCGCCCUUCCUUGUGUACGAUGGGUAAAACGGAGCCUUCCUCUCUAGCUAGAGCUAGAACACACAGUAUAGGGGUCAUAGAUGCAAUGAUCUACUACAGAACUUUAAUGGAAAAGGAGCAGGAAACAUAGCCGCGUCAACCUCCCUAAUCUAGGCCGUAUAGACAGCCAUUGAGUGCACCAGCUGCCGAUCUUAUCCUCCACGCCAUCCUGGCUUAUCCCCAAGCCAAGCCCCCUAAAAACUCCAUCCUUAUCUGCCUUUUCCUCGAAUACAUUUCAUCGAACACCUUGUGAGCAUGUUUCAUCAUCACUGGUUGGAGCCGAAGCCGGCGUAGCUGACUGCGGGAACCGUGGCUCGGGACGCCUCUACUGCUGCUGCUGCCUUGGAUCAACGCCGGGUGCUGCUGGAACUCGAGGACCUGCUGACGAACGGCUGCGCGCUCGCCGCCGUCGGCAUCCUCUGCUUCCUUACCGCCUCCCCACCGCGACGCCGCGUUUCGCCGACUCGCCAUCCCACGAUUCCGAAGGAGUUGCUGAGUUAAUCAAAGAUCCGGGUCAGCAAAUCUGUGAGCAAGGCAAGUCAUCACUAAUCUUUGAGCAUGUUGGACCUAUUGCGAACUUAUUUUGAUUUAAAUAAAGUUUGCAUGCUAUUUAUAUGUGAA